rnacentral:rRNA from 1 species
CUUUUUGCCUCAUUAAAAGUAGUGUCUGCUCAAUGAUCAUUAAAUGGCCGCAAUCGUGCUAAGGUAGCAUAAUCAUUUGUUUCUUAAUUGAAAACUUGUAUGAACGAUUUAACAUUUCUUAUUUUCUCUUUUUCCUUAUAUAUAAUUUAUAUUAAAAAUUAAAAUAUUUUUAUAGAAAAAAAAGACGACAAGACCCUAUUGAACUUAACUUUUUGUUUAGCUGGGGCAGCUAAGUAAAAAAUUUUUAUUUAUUUUACAAUAAAAGACCUGAUUAAUUCAACUACUAGAACAAGUUACCAUAGGGAUAACAGCGUAAUUUUUUAUUAAAGCUCUUAUUGAAUAAAAAGUUUGCGACCUCGAUGUUGAAUAUUUAAUCUUUAGUAUGUAGCCAUAUUAAAAGAGGGGUCUGUUCGACCUUUAAAUAAAUACA